rnacentral:tRNA from 1 species
ACCAGGAUGGCCGAGUGGUUAAGGCGUUGGACUUAAGAUCCAAUUGGCAUAUUCAAUAGUAUUUAUUGAGCGCUUACUAUGUGCACAGCACUAUACUAAGCGCUUGAAAUGGACAAUUCGGUAACAGAUAGAGACAAUCCCUGCCCAAUGACGGGCUCACAGUCUAAAUGGGAUCCCGCUUCCUACCCCGUGGAAUGAUGAUAACCGCAUUGGUUCGAACCCCACUCCUGGUA